GUGUCCUCAUUGCUCCCUUGGGUGGGGAGAAGAUGAAAGAGGGCCGAAAUGAGGUCCUCCAAAGUUGGGGCUCUUUUCCCCAACUCUGAGGGUGGCGCCAAGAGCCCCAGAAUAGGAGAGCUAGGUUGCCCCUUGGAAAUUAAAUGUAGAUAUUUAAGGAACUUUUUUUGGCUACCAGUAAGAGAUACAUUGAAAAAUUCUCACCCAAAUGUUUUUGUCUUAGUCAUGGAGAGUUUGGGGCUCAAAGGGCUUUUGGCCUAGAGGCAAGAAA
rnacentral:lncRNA from 1 species